GGAUGGAUCAUUAACACUGUUUCAACAACAACAGCCAAUCUUAAUGUCAUCUGGCCAGUUCUUAUGAACACGUAUCCCAAGGACCUCGAUCGAGUGGAUAAGAAACCCCUAAAAUUGCGGGGCGAGUACUCUUGCACGGGCGUCUGACUCGCGGAGCGGUGGAUCAAAUGAUUACCCUGGCUUGUAUCUUGUGCCACGGAGGAUAGGGACCGCGAAGCGGGAGUCACGGACGUUACGGAGGUGGAAAGUUGGUUUCGCCACAAUGAGGUGCAGCUCGGACCUGGGUUAAAAAUGGGGUAGGGGUGCCAACCGUCCCUUUUUAGAUAGCUCGAUAAUUGCUCUGUUCUCUGGGGAUGUAGCUCAGCUGGUAGAGCGCGUCGUUAGCAACGACGAGGCCUGGAGUUCAAUCCUCCACUUCUCCAACCCUCAUAGAGCUGACGGAAAAUGGCAUACCUUAUUUCGCCAGGUUCGACGAGUCUAGUGGGCGCGACUCUCAAAAAACCGCCACCGUACAGAAGCCUCUGUAAAUCGAUUGUUGCAAAACGAAAGAUUAUAGCACAGGUGGAUGACGUAGUUUUUAUCGGCCGCUUUUUUGUAGUACCCCUAUCUUCUGGAUAGGGUUUUGUAUACUUAUGUAACCAGUUGACUGAAUAAAAGCGUUGGGCCUUGAAAAAGGUUUUUUACAACGUACUUUUCGCGUAAAUACUAUACAACUGUUAGCAACGGAUAUCUUGGUUCUCGCAACGAUGAAGAACGCAGCGAAAUGCGAUACGUAGUGCGAAUUGCAGAAUUCAGUGAAUCAUCAAAUCUUUGAACGCAAAUUGCGCUCUUGGGAUAGCCCUGGGAGCACGCUUCUUUGAGUAUCGGUUCAUCCCCCCCUCGGCGGCGUGGCCAAGCAAUUGGUCUUGCGUGCAGCCGGUAUCUGGGCGUCACUGCCGGUGGGCCGUGUCGCCUCAAGUUCAGAGCGGUUUCUGCGAAACCAAAUCAACAGCUCAAAUCGGCCCGCUCUUGCUGGGACGUAACAAUGGGUAACACACCAAUUUAUUGUUCGUCAUUUUCAACUGGCAAGGGCAAGUCGGAGCUACAACUGGUUUGGUCGCGGUCGGACGCGAAAAUUUUGGAAUACUUUUCUUUUUUCCUUUCUCUCUCCGGAGCGAAAAAGAAGAGGAAAUCUCGGAAAUAGAUCUCAGAUGAAGCGAGAAAACCCGCCGGACUUAAGCAUAUUAUUAAGCGGAGGAAAAGAAACUAACAAGGAUUCCCCUAGUAACGGCGAGUGAAGCGGGAAGAGCUCAACUUGAAAAUCGGUGCUCCACGCGGGGUAUCGAGUUGUAGUCUAGAGACGUGUCAUCAGCGUGUGACCCAGGUAUAAAUCUUUUGGAACAAGGUAUCAUAGAGGGUGAGAAUCCCGUCUUUGACCUGGAGUUCGCCGCGUACGAUACACGUUCAACGAGUCGAAUUGGUCGGGAUUCCAGUUCUAAAUGGGUGGUAAAUUUCAUCUAAAGCUAAAUACAGGCGAGAGACCGAUAGCGAACAAGUACCGUGAGGGAAAGAUGAAAAGAACUUUGAAAAGAGAGUUAAAAAGAACUUGAAAUUGCUAACAGCGAAGCGCUGGAAACCAGUCGUACUCGGCGUCUAUAUUUAUUAUUCGCACGUUUCGGGCCGCUCUUGAGAGUGCUUACGCCUCCUCAGGGGUGGUUUCGGGGCGGCGCGGGUGAGUUCUGUAGCGCCGGGUGAGUCAAGAUCGGUUGUGCUCGCCGGAGAAGGCCGUGGGGAAGGUAGGCAGGAGGCAGCAAUGCUGACUGCUGUUAUAGACACGCGGACAUACGGUGGGUGCGACCGAGGAAUCUUUCAAUGCGCGCCUUUGGCUUCGGCCGAGGGCUGGGCGUCCCGUCCCUACCGUGCCAUCCUCUUUGGACAGCAAAGCUGUGCGCGGGGAGAAGCGCGGCACUGGGCGGGGUCCGUCACAUGCGUGUUCGGGAUCUUGACGAAAUGGUUUUCAUUGACCCGUCUUGAAACACGGACCAAGGAGUCUAACAUAUAUGCGAGUAUUUGGGUGGUAAACCCUGAUGCGUAAUGAAAGUAAAGGCAGCCUCGUGCUGCUGAGGUAGGAAUCCUGGCCCGCCGGGCUGGGAGGCACUAUCGACCGAUCUGGCACUUGUGAAAGAUUUGAGUAAGAGCAUAUCUGUUGGGACCCGAAAGAUGGUGAUCUAUGCCUGAACAGGGCGAAGCCAGGGGAAACUCUGGUGGAGGCUCGUAGCGAUACUAACGUGCAAAUUGUUCGUCUGAUUUGGGUAUAGGGGCGAAAGACUAAUCGAACCAUCUAGUAGCUGGUUCCCUC
rnacentral:tRNA from 1 species